rnacentral:rRNA from 1 species
GAUGAACGCUGGCGGCGUGCUUAACACAUGCAAGUCGAACGGAAAGGCCCAAGCUUGCUUGGGUACUCGAGUGGCGAACGGGUGAGUAACACGUGGGUGAUCUGCCCUGCACUUCGGGAUAAGCCUGGGAAACUGGGUCUAAUACCGGAUAGGACGAUGGUUUGGAUGCCAUUGUGGAAAGUUUUUUCGGUGUGGGAUGAGCUCGCGGCCUAUCAGCUUGUUGGUGGGGUAAUGGCCUACCAAGGCGUCGACGGGUAGCCGGCCUGAGAGGGUGUACGGCCACAUUGGGACUGAGAUACGGCCCAGACUCCUACGGGAGGAAGCAGUGGGGAAUAUUGCACAAUGGGCGCAAGCCUGAUGCAGCGACGCCGCGUGGGGGAUGACGGCCUUCGGGUUGUAAACUCCUUUCGCUAGGGACGAAGCGUUUUUGUGACGGUACCUGGAGAAGAAGCACCGGCUAACUACGUG